AUUGAACGCUGGCGGCAGGCCUAACACAUGCAAGUCGAACGAGUGGCGGACGGGUGAGUAAUGUCUGGGAAACUGCCUGAUGUAGGGGGAUAACUACUGGAAACGGUAGCUAAUAACGCAAACCACCCGAUGUGCUCAUAUGGGAUUAGCUAGUUGGGGGGGUAAAGGCUCACCUAGGCGACGAUCCCUAGCUGGCCUGAGAGGAGGACCAGCCACAGUGUGACUGAGACACGGUCCAGACUCCUACGGGAGGCAGCAGUGGGGAAUAUUUGACAAUGGGCGCAAGCCUGAUGCAGCCACGCCGCGUGUAUGAAGAAGGCCUUCGGUUGGUAAAGUACUUUCAUCGGGGAGGCGUUACCCGCAGAAGAAGCACCGGCUAACUCCGUGCCAGCAGCCGCGGUAAUUC
rnacentral:rRNA from 1 species